rnacentral:rRNA from 1 species
UCGAACGGAUCUUGGGGCAACUCAAGGUUAGUGGCGGACGGGUGAGGAAUGCGUCGGAAUCUACCCUAUGGUGGGGGAUAACACAGGGAAACUUGUGCUAAUACCGCAUGAUGUCGAGAGACCAAAGCAGGGGACCUGAGAGGGCCUUGCGCGAUAGGAUGAGCCGACGCCCGAUUAGCUAGUUGGUAGGGUAAAGGCCUACCAAGGCGACGAUCGGUAGCUGGUCUGAGAGGAUGAUCAGCCACACUGGGACUGAGACACGGCCCAGACUCCUACGGGAGGCAGCAGUGGGGAAUAUUGGACAAUGGGCGCAAGCCUGAUCCAGCAAUGCCGCGUGUGUGAAGAAGGCCUGCGGGUUGUAAAGCACUUUUGUUCGGGAAGAAAACGGACCGGUUAAUACCCGGUUCGGAUGACGGUACCGAAAGAAUAAGCACCGGCUAACUUCGUGCCAGCAGCCGCGGUAAUACGAAGGGUGCAAGCGUUAAUCGGAAUUACUGGGCGUAAAGCGUGCGUAGGCGGCUUUUUAAGUCGGAUGUGAAAUCCCCGGGCUCAACCUGGGAAUGGCAUCCGAUACUGGGGAGCUGGAGUUUGGGAGAGGGUGGUGGAAUUCCCGGUGUAGCGGUGAAAUGCGUAGAGAUCGGGAGGAACAUCAGUGGCGAAGGCGGCCACCUGGCCUAUAACUGACGCUGAGGCACGAAAGCGUGGGGAGCAAACAGGAUUAGAUACCCUGGUAGUCCACGCCCUAAACGAUGAGAACUGGACGUUGGGAGGAAUUCGCCUCUUAGUGUCGAAGCUAACGCGUGAAGUUCUCCGCCUGGGGAGUACGCUCG